UCUGCACCCUGACAGGCACUGUCUUUGCUUUUGUUAAUGGGUGAGGAGGGAAGGAAACGAAAGGCUGAAGUGUUUCCUGCUGUCUUCUGUGCCUCUUGCUGCUCUCGGUGCCUUUCGAAGUCAUUUUCUGCAUGAAGGAGGGUAACGCCACAGGCCACUGAAACAACAAGAGAAACUGAUAACCUCAAAAAGCACAAUUCCUCCAGCAGAUACCAGGUCUUGUCGAUACUGCAAAACCUUCCCACAAAGUGCCAUGUGGUGCUGCAGGGUCAGAGGCUGAUUCAGCUUCUGUCAGGCUGGCAAUAUGAGGAGGCAGAGCUGGUGCCUGAGAAGGCAGAUUCCGUGCCUCUAGGUUUAUCUUUACCUCCACACCACCAACCCUGGAAUGGUUGCCCUAUAUGAUACCUUUUCAUGUUCCCUGAAAAGCAUCUGGUGUCUCUUGAAACAUCACAUGUUGCUUCUGUC